rnacentral:lncRNA from 1 species
AUGGACCACAGUGGUUUUGUGGACUGCGGUGGACCGAACGGCGUAGGCUUGGCUUUUGGGCUAAUUUUUGGGCCUUUUUGACUCCGUUUUGCAUCCAAUUUUCUCCCUCUAGGCUUGUAGAUUGGGCUCUUUAUACUGGUGAGCAUCUUUCCUACAAAAUACAACAAGAAGCAUCAAUUUUUAAGAAAUAAAAAUCAAUUAAUAUUUAUUUUGAUGCUUUUUAUGGGAUAUUUAUUGUAUUUAUCAGCAUCCCUAGUAAACCCCGCAAGAGGUGUGUCCAUCCGUCCCAUUCAUUUCGGUAGUAUAUCCAUUUGAGGGAA